UUUUUGUGUUAGCUGAUGAGAUAGAUAAGAUGUGCUGUUACGAUAGGCAAUGUUGUUUUUUCCAUCGGGUUCGAAAUUCAAUUAAUUUCUAGGGUACAUAUAUUUGACUUCUUUACUGAAGAGCGUUAGUCCGUGCAGUUUUACCGCCAAUGUAUCUGUAGCUUGCAGUCAGGUCACAAAUAAAACAUAAAUUCAUUGACCGGUAAACCUCUGAUGACAGCGCACCCCAAAGGAUUCUGAAAGACGCUAGAAACAUCAACUAAGAUGUCAGGUUCCACUUGUUCCAUUUUUGUUCCAUACAUUUCUAUAUUGCUCUGUUUUAUUCUUGUGAAUGAAGGGAGAGCAAUUGACAUCAACCGCCUGAAAAGAUUCACAAAGAGUGAUAUAUGUCAUGGAACAUUUGCAACACUUGAACCAGUAGAAAAUUGUCCAAGAAAUGAAACGGAUAUUGAAGGGAGGUCACGGGAAAAAAUGUGUGACACAUACUCACCAUGUAAUGAAGACCCAUUAGUGUACCAUUGUGUUAGAUAUGAAGAUAAACUUGUGGAAGUAUGUGCUCCAAGAGGUCUAAUAACAGGAAACUGCUGUGCUGUGUUCAACAGAGGGGUAGGACGAGUCGUAGAAGAUUACAACAAACCUUGCUCAGAAUGUCCUUUCAAGUAUCAGUCUGCUGAUUCUAUAAGAUAUAAUACAUGUAUUGAACCAAUGGCAAAGCCACAAACACACCAAACUAAUAUAGAGAGCACAACUCCAACUGGAAAAUCUGAAUCCUGUUGCAAUGCCAAGAGAGGCAAACGUGAUGCAACUUGCUGUUCUAAAGUAAACAUAUCGAGGAACGUUAACAAGGUUACUGAUGUGCCCAUAACGAAGGCGGAUAGCGGUUAUCAUCCUGCAAGCAGUGAAAAAGAGCAGAACUUUCCAACGGCGGGAACUGUGACAGUAAUAGUAUUUUUAUUGUUUGCUUGCUGUUUAACUUUACUGACCUGGCGUAAUUGGUCACGUCUCAGGGAAUGUUCGGGAAAGAAUAUCGACAGAAAUACACCAACUGAAGAAAUAGGCUCAAACGAGGAAAACAUUGCAGCAACUAAAGCCAAUCCAGAAAAUGCAGUAAAUGAGCUAAACCCUGUUGAAGUCCCUUUAAUUGAAAGUUAUAGAAAGGAUGAUAAAAACGCAGAAACAACGUAUGUGUACAAAUGUAUAUCGAAUACAACACUACGUGAUAACCUCGCAAGCGCGGAAAGUCAUACUUUACAAAAAGCUUAAUAUGUUGACGACUGAUAUUUUAAGAUAUUUUUUCAUAUAUUGUGCUCAAUUUUGUUCUUAAUUUCUAUUGACCGUUUUGUUUUGAUAUAGAAUCUGCUCAAUUUUGUUUUUACUUUUUAAUUGACCGUUUGUUUUAAAAAACUGAAAAAAAGUAAUUGUCAGGAUGUAUCAGAGGAGUGAAAGGGGGGGAGGGGGGUGAACAUGAAAAAUUAAUUAAAUGUUGUACACAUUCUUUGUUGCAAUACACUGAAAAAUUAAAAAGUUAA
rnacentral:misc_RNA from 1 species